GCCGAGCCACCACACCUGGAGAACCCACCGUAAUAUGUUCAGUUUUUUGUGAUUUUCUGGCCAACCAAGGCCCCCGAACGUAUUUUUUUACAGGGAUACGUGUAAAAUCGACUAAAACCAGACAAAACUAGUAAAAACCAGCCAAGUUAUGGCAAACUCCCAUCGUGGGCGAUGGAGUUAACGCUGGAGCACGACGGCACCAACGUGUCGGAACUCCAAAAUUGGCUGGAAAGAGUUU
rnacentral:lncRNA from 1 species